rnacentral:rRNA from 1 species
GCGGCGUGCCUAAUACAUGCAAGUCGCACGGACACCUUCGGGUGUCAGUGGCGGACGGGUGAGUAACACGUGGGUAACCUGCCUCACAGCCUGGGAUAACGCCUGGAAACGGGUGCUAAUCCCGGAUAGAUUCUUACGCCGCAUGGUGUAGGGAGGAAAGCUGCCGCAAUGCAGCACUGAGAGAUGGGCCCGCGGCGCAUUAGCUAGUUGGUGAGGUAACGGCCCACCAAGGCAACGAUGCGUAGCCGACCUGAGAGGGUGACCGGCCACACUGGGACUGAGACACGGCCCAGACUCCUACGGGAGGCAGCAGUAGGGAAUCUUCCGCAAUGGGCGCAAGCCUGACGGAGCAACGCCGCGUGAGUGAAGACGGUCUUCGGAUUGUAAAGCUCUGUUGCCAGAGACGAGCGGAUAGGAGAGGGAAUGCUCCUAUCGAGACGGUAUCUGGUCAGAAAGCCCCGGCUAACUACGUGCCAGCAGCCGCGGUAAUACGUAGGGGGCAAGCGUUGUCCGGAAUGACUGGGCGUAAAGCGCGCGCAGGCGGUCUAUCACGUCUGGGGUGAAAGUUCAGGGCUCAACCCUGAGAUGGCCUUGGAAACGGGGGGGACUUUGAGGGUCGGA